AAAGAAUGAUAAGAAUCAGCAAGUUUCAUUUUAACUGUCCAAGUUCCAGUAAUACCCUGAUAAAUGGGAGAAGUUUUCAACAAUUUCUCUACACUGAUGCCACUACGUAUAACUCGUAAAGAUCCUUCAGGUGCCAUCCCGCAGCAGGCAAACAUUUGAUCAUGUUUCUCAUCAUGGUAAUCCACAACCGACAUAUCCAAUAUUGGUGCGAUAUUUUGGAUUGGACUUCUAUAAUCAAGUCUUCCGUCUUCAACUUUUAGCACCAUCCCAUCACCCAUUUCAAUAAUAACUGCCAAAAAUCCACCUCUCACCCACAAAAGUGCCUUGGCUGGUAAAGUCUUGUAAAGAGAAUCAGACAGAGAUACUUUCAGGCCAUCAGAAUCAAAUAAAAAAUCAAUCAAGAAAAGCUCUCCAGAGUCUGCACAAAAUAUCAUUCUAGGACUGUUCUCAUUUCCAGGAUUCCAACUCCAUGAGCACACGAAAUUCGAACCCGGCUUUACAUUGCUAUCAUCAUCAAUAUUCAUUGGGUCAUUUUUAUUCAAAUCGCUGAGCUCAAGCAAUGCAGAUGCCGCAACACUGUAGAUACCUUCUUCGUCUAUAAUAUCGGGAAUUCUAAUAGUCUCUCGUACAAAAUUUGGCUCCUCAACUGAAGGAGGUGUAAAAUUUAAACUUAUUCGAUAAAGAAUGCAAGGGCUAUGAGGAACUUUAAAGUCCAUCACUAUGGCAUCACCAGCACGAAGUACUAACACAAGUCCAUAAGAAUGAGGGAUAUCUACGAUAUGAUGUGCAAGUGGUCCAAGUUCAGAACACUGAUAUACUACAUAGAGCGAAUGCUCCUUCGUAUUCCACUCUAUCAACACGAUCUCGCUCCUAUAUGACCUCCUCCUAUUGAGAAGAAUGGCCAAUAUAGGAUUGUAAUCCUUAUUUGGUUGAACAUCUUUCGAGAUAAAGCACAUGCUCCAUA
rnacentral:misc_RNA from 1 species